GGUAAAAGCCUACCAAGGCGACGAUCUUUAGCUGGUCUGAGAGGAUGAUCAGCCACAUCGGGACUGAGACACGGCCCGAACUCCUACGGGAGGCAGCAGUGGGGAAUAUUGGACAAUGGGGGCAACCCUGAUCCAGCAAUACCGCGUGUGUGAAGAAGGCCUGAGGGUUGUAAAGCACUUUCAAUUGUGAAGAAAAGUUAGCGGUUAAUAACCGUUAGCCUUGACGUUAACUUUAGAAGAAGCACCGGCUAACUCCGUGCCAGCAGCCGCGGUAAUACGGAGGGUGCAAGCGUUAAUCGGAAUUACUGGGCGUAAAGCGUGCGUAGGCGGUUUAUUAAGUCAGAUGUGAAAGCCCCGGGCUUAACCUGGGAACUGCAUUUGAAACUGGUCAACUAGAGUAUGGUAGAGGAAAGUGGAAUUUCUGGUGUAGCGGUGAAAUGCGUAGAUAUCAGAAGGAACAUCAAUGGCGAAGGCAGCUUUCUGGACCAAUACUGACGCUGAGGUACGAAAGCGUGGGUAGCAAACAGGAUUAGAUACCCUGGUAGUCCACGCCGUAAACGAUGAUAACUAGCCGUUGGGGGGAUUUACCCCUUAGUGGCGAAGCUAACGCGUUAAGUUAUCCGCCUGGGGAGUACGGCCGCAAGGUUAAAACUCAAAGGAAUUGACGGGGACCCGCACAAGCGGUGGAGCAUGUGGUUUAAUUCGAUGCAACGCGAAGAACCUUACCUGGUCUUGACAUCCUGCGAACUUUCUAGAAAUAGAUUGGUGCCUUCGGGAACGCAGUGACAGGUGCUGCAUGGCUGUCGUCAGCUCGUGUGUGAGAUGUG
rnacentral:rRNA from 1 species